UAUGUGUUUGGGAAAACAAGGAUCUUAAAUCAUAUACAUAAUAAAUCGGAUAGGAAACACAACACGAGUAGUUACACAAAUUGAUAUGUUGUUCAUCUACCAAACAUGAAAAACAAAAUCAUCUCUGCUGGAAAUUAAAGGAUCGAAUGCAAUAAGCAAAGAUGAAGGCGAAGAACAAAACCAGUCCAACGUGCACCCCGGCAAUAACCCCAAGAAAAUCAUGCUUGAAACCAAAAAACCGAUCCAAGUAACCUUUAACGGUUUCCCCGUUCGAUAGCUCAUCGUUAAAGUCCCCGAACUGUGAAACAACCAUGCCGUAAAUAGUCCAAGCAAGCGGGUUUCCCCAGUAGUACCAUCUCCACCACACUGGAAUGCUCUGUCGUGGAAUGAUGAAUCCCGAGAAAAGAUUGAAGAUUCCGUAGAAUGAGGCGGCAAUGAUGGCGGCGAUGCUGGCGUUGGGGGUGAUAGCGACGGUCAUCAUACCGUAAUAGGUCAUGUAGAGGAAACAACACAUUUGGAAAAAUAAAUACCAAAAGAAUUUAGCAGCAGUCCACUCGAAUCCGAUCAUGGAGUACACUAUAACACUGUACACCCCUGUCUGCACCAAAAUAUACGGGAUUUCGACCAAAACUUGAGCGAAAGCAUACGGCAGAGCAGAGUACAUUCCAGCGGCUCUUUCUCUGUAAAACACAGUUCGCUCAACAUCUACCACCGGUUGAACAGCUGAUGCGUUCUGGAUUCCUAAGAAAAGAACUGCUGCAUACAUUGAACCCAUCGCGUUAUUCAGAUCUUGUUGGGUUGC
rnacentral:lncRNA from 1 species